rnacentral:rRNA from 1 species
AUUGAACGCUGGCGGCAUGCUUUACACAUGCAAGUCGAACGGAAACAGGACUUCGGAUGCUGACGAGUGGCGAACGGGUGCGUAAUACAACGGAACGUGCCUAGUAGUUGGGGAUAACUACUCGAAAGAGUAGCUAAUACCGCAUGAGAUAUACGGAAGAAAACAGGGGACCUCCGGGGCUAAUGCUACUAUAGCGGCUGAUGGCAGAUUAGGUAGUUGGUGGGGUAAAGGCUUACCAAGCCUGCGAUCUGUAGCUGGUCUGAGAGGAGGACCCGCCACACUGGGACUGAGACACGGCCCAGACUCCUACGGGAGGCAGCAGUGGGGAAUUUUGGACAAUGGGCGAAAGCCUGAUCCAGCAAUGCCGCGUGCAGGAUGAAGGCCCUCGGGUUGUAAACUUCUUUUGUACGGAACGAAAAGACUUGGACUAAUAUCCCCGGGUCAUGACGGUACCGUAAGAGUAAGCACCGGCUAACUACGUG